GAUGAAGAACGUAGCGAAAUGCGAUAAGUAAUGUGAAUUGCAGAAUUCAGUGAAUCAUCGAAUCUUUGAACGCACCUUGCACCCUUUGGACUGCUCCAAAGGGUAUGCUCGUUUGAGUGUCAUUGUACUCUCACACUCUCUGAUCCUUUGGAUUUGGGGAGCAGUGGACUUGGGUGCUUGCUGCUUCCUUGUGGCUCACCUGAAAUGCAUCAGUGCAUCUCUCGAUUGGACAUAGUACGGCGUGAUAAGUGUCUUCGCCGGCACCUCUGUAAGGAGGGUGGCCGAUCGGGAGCUCUGUGCUUCAAACCGUCUUCGGACAAUCUUUGACAACUUGACCUCAAAUCGAGUAGGACUACCCGCUGAACUUAAGCAUAUCAAUAAGCGGAGGA
rnacentral:misc_RNA from 1 species